rnacentral:tRNA from 1 species
UGUAAAUAUCACGUCAGCUUUUCAUGCUGAAGAUGGGGGUGCCUGUCCCCCGAGGGUUA